rnacentral:tRNA from 1 species
GUUUAAAUAGUUUAAUAAAAAACAUUAGUCUUGUAAACUAAAAUUAAGAACACUCUUUUUAAACU